UAGGCAUUUGGGCCCUGGCUGGUUAGCUCAGUUGGUUAGGGCAUCAUCCUAAUAUGCUGAGGUUGCAGAUUCAAUAGCCAGUCAGGGAACAUACAAGAAUCAGCCAACGAAUGCAUAAAUAAGUAUAGCAAUAAACUGGUGUUUCUCUCUCUCUCUCUUCCU